AGUGAGGAAUUUUCCGCAAUGGGCGAAAGCCUGACGGAGCGACGCCGCGUGUGGGAAGAAGGCCUUCGGGUCGUAAACCACUGUCGAAGGGGMCGAUAUUGACGGUACCCUUGGAGGAAGCCCCGGCUAACUACGUGCCAGCAGCCGCGGUAAGACGUAGGGGGCAAACGUUGUCCGGAAUUAUUGGGCGUAAAGCGCUCGUAGGUGGAUCAACAAGUCUGCAAGCAAAGACCCGGGCUCAACUCGGGAAUCCGUGUGGAAACUGUUGGUCUAGAGGUAGUUAGAGGAUGAUGGAAUUCCCGGU
rnacentral:rRNA from 1 species